rnacentral:rRNA from 1 species
UACGAGGGGUGCAAGCGUUAUUCGGAAUCAUUGGGCGUAAAGGGUGCGUAGGCGGCGCGUUAAGUCAACCGUUAAAUUUUCCGGCCUAACCGGAAGCCAGCGGUAGAUACUGGCGUGCUAGAGGAUGGAAGAGAGAAGUGGAAUUCUCGGAGUAGCGGUAAAAUGCGUGGAUCUCGAGAGGAACACCAAUGGCGAAGGCAGCUUCUUGGUCCAUUCCUGACGCUGAGGUACGAAAGCGUGGGGAGCAAACAGGAUUAGAUACCCCAGUA